AGAGUUUGAUCCUGGUUCAGAACAAACGCUGGCGGCGUGCCUAACACAUGCAAGUCGUACGAGAAAGUCCGCUUCGGUGGAUGAGUAAAGUGGCGCACGGGUGAGUAACGCGUGGAUAAUCUACCCUUUAGUCUGGAAUAACUUAUCGAAAGGUGAACUAAUACCGGAUAAUAUCCCGAUUUCUUCGGCGAUCGGGAUCAAAGAAGGCCUCUGCUUGCAAGCUUUCACUGAAGGAUGAGUCCGCGUACCAUUAGCUAGUUGGCAGGGUAAUGGCCUACCAAGGUUAUGAUGGUUAGCUGGUCUGAGAGGAUGAUCAGCCACACUGGAACUGAAACACGGUCCAGACUCCUGCGGGAGGCAGCAGUGAGGAGUAUUGCGCAAUGGGGGCAACCCUGACGCAGCAACGCCGCGUGAGUGAGGAAGGUUUUCGGAUUGUAAAGCUCUGUCGAGCGGAAAGAAGUGC
rnacentral:rRNA from 1 species